GACGAACGCUGGCGGCGUGCCUAAUACAUGCAAGUUGAGCGCUGAAGGUUGGUCCUUGUACCAACUGGAUGAGCAGCGAACGGGUGAGUAACGCGUGGGGAAUCUGCCUUUGAGCGGGGGGCAACAUUUGGAAACGAAUGCUAAUACCGCAUAAAAACUUUAAACACAAGUUUUAAGUUUGAAAGAUGCAAUUGCAUCACUCAAAGAUGAUCCCGCGUUGUAUUAGCUAGUUGGUGAGGUAAAGGCUCACCAAGGCGAUGAUACAUAGCCGACCUGAGAGGGUGAUCGGCCACAUUGGGACUGAGACACGGCCCAAACUCCUACGGGAGGCAGCAGUAGGGAAUCUUCGGCAAUGGACGAAAGUCUGACCGAGCAACGCCGCGUGAGUGAAGAAGGUUUUCGGAUCGUAAAACUCUGUUGGUAGAGAAGAACGUUGGUGAGAGUGGAAAGCUCAUCAAGUGACGGUAACUACCCAGAAAGGGACGGCUAACUACGU
rnacentral:rRNA from 1 species